ensembl:rRNA 5S_rRNA 5S ribosomal RNA
AUCUAGGGACAUACGACCCUGAACACGUGAGAUCUCAUCUGAUCUCAGAAGCUAAGCAGGGUUGGUGCUGCUUAGCAGGAUUUGGAUAGGAGACCGCCUGGGAAUACCAGGUGCUGUAGGCU